AAACACUUCGCUCCGCUCCAGGAUCACUGGCACAGGCCUUUGCCAGGGCGAACUCCGGGCAAGACCCGUGACCCCACCCCAGAAAACUCCCGACUCCCGGGCUGGAGAAGGUAGCCAAGAUCAUUCUCAGUUGCCAUAUGGCAAAGACACAGGAAGCUGCCCUGUGUAGAGACCCACAUGGCAAGGAACUGAGACAUCCUGCCAACAACCACCAGAGUCUGAGGCCUGCUGCCAUCACCACGUGAGUGAGACAUCUUAGAAGUGGAUCCUUCAGCCUAAGUCAAGCCUUCAGAUGAUUGCGUCUUGACUGCAGCCUCAUCAAAGACCUUGAACCAGAACCACCCAACUCAGUUACUCUCAAAUGCUUAACCCAUAGAAACUAUAGCGGUAAAAUAAGUGCUUAUUGUUUUAAGUCACUAAAUUUGGGAGAUAAUUUAUAUCUAUCCAGAAAUAGAUAACAAAUACACUAAUCCUGUUGUUCUCAACUUGGGACCAUUUCAUAUCCCAGGGGAUUUUGGCAAUGGCUUACGACAUUUUUCAUGGGGGUAGGUUGGAUGUUCCAUUGGCAUCUAGU
rnacentral:lncRNA from 10 species